GUAUUCAGGCCUUGAAUAGUGUCCGCAGGCCUAGAAGAUUGUAACUUGUUUUCAACGUUGUACUAAAUGUAUUUAUUUGUGCAGUGGCGUAUCAUGUCUGCGUGACGUAAGAGAGAGGUCCAAUUGGUCCCCCACAUGUUCAACUAGUGUCAGGAAAUACCAAUUCAAAUUAAUAUCAUUUAGAAUUUAGAUUUUUUUUUUAGUGCUUAAAUGGUAUUUACAAAAUAAUUUUAAUCUCCCCCCCCCCCCCCCC